rnacentral:rRNA from 1 species
AUACGGAGGGUGCAAGCGUUACUCGGAAUCACUGGGCGUAAAGCGCGCGCAGGCGGCUGUUUAAGUUGGAUGUGAAAGCCUACGGCUCAACCGUAGAACUGCAUCCAAAACUAUUUAGCUAGAGUGUGGGAGAGGAAGAUGGAAUUAGUUGUGUAGGGGUAAAAUCCGUAGAGAUAACUAGGAAUACCAAAAGCGAAGGCAAUCUUCUGGAACACUACUGACGCUGAGGCGCGAAAGCGUGGGGAGCAAACAGGAUUAGAAACCCUAGUAGUCC